ACAAACACUCAGAAAAAAGAGACCAAUGACGAGAUAAGAAGAUGAUCCAAUCUUUGGUAUUGUAUUUUUUUGUUUUUUGUGUUAUUUUUGGGAGGGGAAUUUGAGUCAGUCUGCUUCAGAGGGACUGACACGAUGGAAAGAGUUGUGUGUGUGGCGGCUCUGCUGGUCCUCGGCUCUGUCUGGAUGGUCCAGACGGUCCCUGUGCUCCUGGAACCUUUAAUCCUCCCAAAGGAGAACUUUGAUCUGGACCAGUUCAUGGGGAGGUGGAAUGAGUUGGCAGUGGUUUCUACAUGUCCUUACUACAUGCAGCGUAAGAGGGGAAACCCCAUCAUCGUUGCCCUGGAGCUGGAACAUGGCGCCUCUGAUAGCAACUUCACAAUGACAGCCACUCAUUUCAGGAAUGGCUCAUGUCACCAGACGUCCACUGAUUACCGUGUGACCAACACUAUGGGACGGUUCUACCAUUAUAUUGCAAGAUUCAGGGCAGAUGUUGAUUCCUUCGUGGUCCAUUACAAAUAUGAUGAGUACGCAAUGAUUCGUCUGCUGAGCGUGGAGCAACCAUCAGGAAAUAGAACAACCACAAUCAAGCUUUAUAGUCGAAGUAUGAGUGUUGGGGCCACUGUGCUGGAUGACUUCAAAACGCUGGUCAGACAACAUGGUCUGAGUGAUGUCGCAAUCAUCAUGAAUCAGAACAAAGGUGACCCACUGCUGAUGGCCCAAGGUCUACAAAUGAAAUGCAUUUACCAGUGCGGGACUUCUUUGAAACACAAAGACAAAUGUUGCCGACAUGAAUGACAGAAAGCCCUCUCUUUCAAGGUGUGUGUGUUCCAGGUGAGCGGGUGACACAGCCGUCACAGCUCAACAUCAGGAGGAGGUAAAGAAAUACGGCACCAAUUAUGUUUUCUGCAAAUGAGGAGGACCAUUGGAAUGUUUGACCAGGUGAGGACAAGCAACUUAAUGUUUAGAGGUACAUUAUAUGAGAUUGGGAGCAGUUUAACGGCUCUCAAAAUGGUGGCUUGUGAGUCAGCUGCUCACAGCGCUGACACCAACUGUGUACGAACUACACCAACUGUGUACGAACUACACCAACUGUGUACGAACUCCACCAACUGUGUAUGAACAACACCAACUGUGUACGAACUCCACCAACUGUGUAUGAACAACACCAACUGUGUACGAACUCCACCAACUGUGUAUGAACAACACCAACUGUGUACGAACUCCACCAACUGUGUACAAACUACACCAACUGUGUAUGAACAACACCAACUGUGUACGAACUCCACCAACUGUGUACAAACUACACCAACUGUGUAUGAACAACACCAACUGUGUACGAACUACACCAACUGUGUACGAACAACACCAACUGUGGACGAACUACACCAACUGUGUACGAACUACACCAACUGUGGACGAACUCCACCAACUGUGUAUGAACUCCACCAACUGUGUACAAACUACACCAACUGUGUAUGAACAACACCAACUGUGUACGAACAACACCAACUGUGUACGAACUCCACCAACUGUGUACGAACUACACCAACUGUGGACGAACUCCACCAACUGUGUAUGAACUCCACCAACUGUGUACAAACUACACCAACUGUGUAUGAACAACACCAACUGUGUACGAACAACACCAACUGUGUACGAACUCCACCAACUGUGUACGAACAACACCAACUGUGUACGAACUACACCAACUGUGGACGAACUCCACCAACUGUGUACGAACUACACCAACUGUGGACGAAC